GAUCCUACUGUCUCCCCCCUCCAAUCGGUGAAACUGAUCUCUCCGUGAAGAAGCGGAGAUGUACAUAUAAGACGAGAAGACCCCAUGGAGCUUUAAACCCAACGACACCCGCCCCCCUCCAAAUCCUAUUAUUUACCCGGUGAUUGUUUGUUUGGUUUUAGGUUGGGGUGACCGCGGAGUAUAAGAUAUCCUCCAUGAAAAAAAGCUAACUGCCCUUAUUAGAGAAAGACACUUCCAAAAAAUAAUAAAUUAAUUUUAAAUGAUCCGACAUUCGAUCAACGAACCAAGUUACCCUGGGGAUAACAGC
rnacentral:rRNA from 1 species